GGGCUAAUGGUCUAGUGGUAUGAUUUUCGCUUCGCAUCGUCAAAGAUGUUCGCCUUGUGAAAGGUCCCCGGUUCAAUCCCGGGUUAGUCCA